rnacentral:rRNA from 1 species
CCUGGCGGCACUAGCGCGGUGGUCCCACCUGACCCCAUGCCGAACUCAGAAGUGAAACGCCGUAGCGCCGAUGGUAGUGUGGGGUCUCCCCAUGUGAGAGUAGGGAACCGCCUUCA